rnacentral:misc_RNA from 1 species
AAGUCGUAACAAGGUUUCCGUAGGUGAACCUGCGGAAGGAUCAUUACUGAGUUAGGGUCUUCAUGGCCCGACCUCCAACCCUUGUGUUAAACAUACCACGUUGCUUCGGCAGGGCCCGUCCUCUCGAGGACCGCCGGGGAGGUUUCCACCUCUCUGGCCCGUUGCCCGCCGGUGGCCAAACCACAAAACUCUUGAUAAACACUGUCGUCUGAGUUACAUUUAUUUAAUUAAAAAAUAAAA